CGUCUGGAAAGGCGCGCGAUACAGGGUGACAGCCCCGUACACAAAAGCGCAUGUGCUGUGAGCUCGAUGAGUAGGGCGGGACACGUGGUAUCCUGUCUGAAUAUGGGGGGACCAUCCUCCAAGGCUAAAUACUCCUGACUGACCGAUAGUGAACCAGUACCGUGAGGGAAAGGCGAAAAGAACCCCGGCGAGGGGAGUGAAAAAGAACCUGAAACCGUGUACGUACAAGCAGUGGGAGCACCCUUCGGGGUGUGACUGCGUACCUUUUGUAUAAUGGGUCAGCGACUUAUAUUCUGUAGCAAGGUUAACCGAAUAGGGGAGCCGGAGGGAAACCGAGUCUUAAUUGGGCGUUAAGUUGCAGGGUAUAGACCCGAAACCCGGUGAUCUAGCCAUGGGCAGGUUGAAGGUUGGGUAACACUAACUGGAGGACCGAACCGACUAAUGUUGAAAAAUUAGCGGAUGACCUGUGGCUGGGGGUGAAAGGCCAAUCAAACCGGGAGAUAGCUGGUUCUCCCCGAAAGCUAUUUAGGUAGCGCCUCGUGAAUUCAUCUCCGGGGGUAGAGCACUGUUUCGGCUAGGGGGCCAUCCCGGCUUACCAACCCGAUGCAAACUGCGAAUACCGGAGAAUGUUAUCACGGGAGACACACGGCGGGUGCUAACGUCCGUCGUGAAGAGGGAAACAACCCAGACCGCCAGCUAAGGUCCCAAAGUCAUGGUUAAGUGGGAAACGAUGUGGGAAGGCCCAGACAGCCAGGAUGUUGGCUUAGAAGCAGCCAUCAUUUAAAGAAAGCGUAAUAGCUCACUGGUCGAGUCGGCCUGCGCGGAAGAUGUAACGGGGCUAAACCAUGCACCGAAGCUGCGGCAGCGA
rnacentral:rRNA from 1 species